UAGGGAAUCUUCCACAAUGGACGCAAGUCUGAUGGAGCAACGCCGNGUGAGUGAAGAAGGUCUUCGGAUCGUAAAACUCUGUUGUUAGAGAAGAACACGAGUGAGAGUAACUGUUCAUACGUUGACGGUAUUUAACCAGAAAGUCACGGCUAACUACGUGCCAA
rnacentral:rRNA from 1 species